UACGUAGGGUGCGAGCGUUAAUCGGAAUUACUGGGCGUAAAGCGUGCGCAGGCGGUUCUGUAAGUCUGUCGUGAAAUCCCCGGGCUCAACCUGGGAACUGCAUUUGUGACUGCAUGGCUGGAGUGCGGCAGAGGGGGAUGGAAUUCCGCGUGUAGCAGUGAAAUGCGUAGAUAUGCGGAGGAACACCGAUGGCGAAGGCAAUCCCCUGGGCCUGCACUGACGCUCAUGCACGAAAGCGUGGGGAGCAAACAGG
rnacentral:rRNA from 1 species